rnacentral:rRNA from 1 species
GACGAACGCUGGCGGCGUGCUUAACACAUGCAAGUCGAACGGAAAGGCCCUUCGGGGUACUCGAGUGGCGAACGGGUGAGUAACACGUGGGUGAUCUGCCCUGCACUCUGGGAUAAGCCUGGGAAACUGGGUCUAAUACCGGAUAUGAUCAUGCGCCUCAUGGUGUGUGGUGGAAAGCUUUUGCGGUGUGGGAUGGGCCCGCGGCCUAUCAGCUUGUUGGUGGGGUAAUGGCCUACCAAGGCGACGACGGGUAGCCGGCCUGAGAGGGUGACCGGCCACACUGGGACUGAGAUACGGCCCAGACUCCUACGGGAGGCAGCAGUGGGGAAUAUUGCACAAUGGGCGCAAGCCUGAUGCAGCGACGCCGCGUGGGGGAUGACGGCCUCGGUUGUAACCGUCUUCUAGUACCGACGAAGCGUAAGUAGACGGUAGGUACGAGAAGAAG